rnacentral:rRNA from 1 species
GACGAACGCUGGCGGCGUGCCUAAUACAUGCAAGUUGAGCGAUGAAGAUUGGUGCUUGCACCAAUUUGAAGAGCAGCGAACGGGUGAGUAACGCGUGGGGAAUCUGCCUUUGAGCGGGGGACAACAUUUGGAAACGAAUGCUAAUACCGCAUAACAACUUUAAACAUAAGUUUUAAGUUUGAAAGAUGCAAUUGCAUCACUCAAAGAUGAUCCCGCGUUGUAUAGCUAGUUGGUGAGGUAAAGGCUCACCAAGGCGAUGAUACAUAGCCGACCUGAGAGGGUGAUCGGCCACAUUGGGACUGAGACACGGCCCAAACUCCUACGGGAGGCAGCAGUAGGGAAUCUUCGGCAAUGGACGAAAGUCUGACCGAGCAACGCCGCGUGAGUGAAGAAGGUUUUCGGAUCGUAAAACUCUGUUGGUAGAGAAGAACGUUGGUGAGAGUGGAAAGCUCAUCAAGUGACGGUAACUACCCAGAAAGGGACGGCUAACUACGUG